rnacentral:rRNA from 1 species
CCAGACUCCUACGGGAGGCAGCAGUGGGGAAUAUUGCACAAUGGGGGGAACCCUGAUGCAGCGACGCCGCGUGGGUGAAGGAGCACCUCGGUGCGUAAAGCCCUAUCGGCAGGGAAGAAACAGACGGUACCUGACUAAGAAGCCCCGGCUAACUACGUGCCAGCGGCCGCGGUAAUACGUAGGGGGCAAGCGUUAUCCGGAUUCACUGGGUGUAAAGGGGGCGCAGACGGCGAUGCAAGCCAGGAGUGAAAGCCCGGGGCCCAACCCCGGGACUGCUCUGGAAACUGCGUCGCUGGAGUACGGGAGGGGCAGGCGGAAUUCCUGGUGUAGCGGUGAAAUGCGUAGAUAUCAGGAGGAACACCGGCGGCGAAGGCGGCCUGCUGGACCGCGACUGACGGUGAGGCUCGAGAGCGUGGGGAGCAAACAGGAUUAGAUACCCUGGUAACG